GAUUGUUUUGAUCAUGGCUCAGAUUGAACGCUGGCGGCAUGCCAUACACAUGCAAGUCGGAACGGCAGCGCGGGAGCAAUCCUGGCGGCGAGUGGCGAAACGGGUGAGUAAUACAUCGGAACAUGUCCAGUAGUGGGGGAUAGCCCGGCGAAAGCCGGAUUAAUACCGCAUACGAUCUAUGGAUGAAAGCGGGGGAUCGCAAGACCUCGCGCUAUUGGGGUGGCCGAUGGCGGAUUAGCUAGUUGGUGGGGUAAAGGCCUACCAAGGCGACGAUCCGUAGCUGGUCUGAGAGGACGACCAGCCACACUGGGACUGAGACACGGCCCAGACUCCUAUGGGAGGCAGCAGUGGGGAAUUUUGGACAAUGGGGGCAACCCUGAUCCAGCAAUGCCGCGUGUGUGAAGAAGGCCUUCGGGUUGUAAAGCACUUUUGUCCGGGAAGAAAUCCCCUGCCCUAAUACGGCGGGGGGAUGACGGUACCGGAAGAAUAAGCACCGGCUAACUACGUGCCAGCAGCCGCGGUAAUACGUAGGGUGCGAGCGUUAAUCGGAAUUACUGGGCGUAAAGCGUGCGCAGGCGGUGAUGUAAGACCGAUGUGAAAUCCCCGGGCUCAACCUGGGAACUGCAUUGGUGACUGCAUUGCUCGAGUAUGGCAGAGGGGGGUGGAAUUCCACGUGUAGCAGUGAAAUGCGUAGAGAUGUGGAGGAACACCGAUGGCGAGGGCAGCCCCCUGGGCCAAUACUGACGCUCAUGCACGAAAGCGUGGGGAGCAAACAGGAUUAGAUACCCUGGUAGUCCACGCCCUAAACGAUGUCAACUGGUUGUCGGGCCUUCAUUGGCUUGGUAACGUAGCUAACGCGUGAAGUGACCGCCUG
rnacentral:rRNA from 1 species